UUAGUGGGCAUCUUGUUGUG
rnacentral:misc_RNA from 1 species